rnacentral:misc_RNA from 1 species
AUAAAGAAGGCUUCAAUCGUAAAACAACCAACUCAGACUGGAACAUAUUUUCAACCAAAUGGCAUUGUAAACAAUCCCUUGAGUCGGGUGCAUUGUACCCGAAAUUGGAAGAAGGAAGCAAGAAGUGCCAAUAUAUCAAGGGGGUUAGAAGAAGCCUCUUGUAAUAGUUCCAAUAUGGCUGCAAGAACAUCAACCAGUGAGAGUCAACUGCAUUGCAUACCCUCUAACGUAGAUCCACAAUUAGAAACACCAUCACACUCGGAGCCACCUACCGAACGGCUCAUCUCUGAAACAGCGAAAAAGGUGCUUGGUCGAAGAAAUUGGAAAGCAGAUGCGAGAAAAAAGACGAAUUGAAUCGUUGAGUUGACGGUCUUAAACUAUUGAUAACAUGAAUGAUGUUAUUCUCAUCAUUUCGCUAUCAUAGUUUGGGGCUGUCGCUGUGUUUUCGCAUCUGGAAUGAACAUUCAACUGUCGACGAAGAUGCCCUUUGAAGGAUUUUCACAUGACGAAUCUGAACAAUUUAUGUAUGCAUAGGUUGGGGUUGAAGGCAG